rnacentral:lncRNA from 7 species
CCUAUGGGUGCCCUAUGGGUAUUCUAUGGGUGCCCUAUUGGUGCUGUAUGGGAUAUGGGAGCCCUAUGAAUGCUGUAUGGGUGCUCUAUGGGAUAUGGUGCCCUAUGGGUAUUCUAUGGGUGCCCUAUGGGUGCCCUAUGGGUGCUCUAUGGGAUAUGGGUGCCCUAUGGGUGCUGUAUGGGAUAUGGGUGCCCUAUGGGUGCCCUAUGGGUAUUCUAUGGGUGCCCUAUGGGUGCUGUAUGGGAUAUGGGAGCCCUAUGAAUGCUGUAUGGGUGCUCUAUGGGAUAUGGUUGCCCUAUGGGUGCCCUAUGGUUGCCCUAUGGGUGCUCUAUGGGAUAUGGGCGCCCUAUGGGUGCCCUAGGGGUGCUCUAUGGGAUAUGGGUGCCCUAUGGGUGCUGUAUGGGAUAUGGAUGCCCUAUGGGUGCCCUAUGGGUAUUCUAUGGGUGCCCUAUGGGUGCUGUAUGGGAUAUGGGAGCCCUAUGAAUGCUGUAUGGGUGCUCUAUGGGAUAUGGUUGCCCUAUGGGUGCCCUAUGGUUGCCCUAUGGGUGCUCUAUGGGAUAUGGGAGCCCUAUGGCUGCCCUAUGGGUGCUGUAUGGGAUAUGGGUGCCCUAUGGGAUCCCUAUGGGUAUCACAGCCCCCUGACCGACCCCAAUCCCCCCCGCAGGCGCUGAGCCAUGGCUGAGCCGUGCCCGGUUGACGUCGGUCCUCCCAGCGAUGGCGGCGAUGCCGUCGGAGGUCCCGGUGGCGCCGUGGGUGGUCCCGGUGACGCCGUGGGUGGUCCCGGUGGAGCCGUGGGUGGUCCCGGUGGCGCCGUGGGUGGUCCCGGUGGAGCCGUGGGUGGUCCCGGUGGAGCCGUGGGGGACACUCUGCCGUGGAGAAGGGGGAAACGCCACCCGCGGGCGCAGCGCGGCGCCGCCAUCAGCGGCAAUGGGAGCGUCCCCGACCCCGCCGAGAGGGCCGUCAUACGCAUCGCAGGUACUAUGGGGGGGGGAUGGGGGGGGAUGGGGGGGGGUAUAGGGGGGGGGGGAUGGGGGGGGGGGUGGGGGGGGGUUGGGGGGGGGGGUGAUGGUUGGGGGGGGUGGGGGCGCCGAUGGGGGGGGCGUGGACGGUGAUGGGGGGGGAUAUGGGGGGCGGGGGGGGUGAUGGGGGGGGAGGGGGGGUGGGGGCGCCGAUGGGGGGGGCGUGGACGGUGAUGGGGGGGAUAUGGGGAGGGGGGCGGUGGGGGGGGAGAGGGGGGCGAUGGG